rnacentral:lncRNA from 1 species
UCCCAAUGUGGAUUAGACGCGGUGUUGUUUUGGUUGUUUAUUCUUUGUUUUUGAAGGACCAAUGACCAAAGACAUGGUCAUUCCAGCAUGGAUUGGGUUUAAGUGAGGCAGAGCUGCAAAAAGUUGUCAGCCUCACUCUCUCUUCCAGGGAAACUGAAGUUCAGCGGAAGACAAAAGUCAGGAUAGCUGCUGCUGAUCGUGGCUUCUUCCAACUCUCAGAUUCUGAGAUUCUGGGAAAGCAUCUUAAGACCAGGAGCUUGUGGUCAUUUUAUUUGGCUUUUGCUGUUGUUGCUGUCAUCAUCUCCUGCUCGGUGUGGCCUUUGGUAGUCCCUCUUCAUUCGAUGAAGCCCGAAACCAUUCCGAAUGGCCUGAACUUCCCCUGACAUCAGAGCUGACUUCUUUCUUUUUUCCCUGUGCCGAGAGUGCAGCGUGUCAGCUGUGGAGCGCAGAAGGGAAUCUAUGGUAAUCACAUUGAAUCCAGAGACAUCGCAUUAGGCUUUUGUGAGUUCCGGAAUUUUUGCAGCCCCGAUAAAUCAGCGCAGGGAUGAUGCGAACUGUAUUUCCAUUCCGUAAGUCUGACCAGCCAGGAUGCCAGAGGCUGCCAGAUAGGAGACAGUGGCUCCUCGGGGAAUAGUAUUGAUGGGCCAGGCGAGCUCUGGCUGCCCCGGCUGCCUCUGACCUUGUUGAUGGGAAUAACAGAAAGAGGGAUUCCACCCACGACUUCCCCUUUUCCUCCCCCUCCAUCAUAUGUAGCCUUUGCUUCUCUGCCGUACACCAUGGGAUACUUAGUACAUCUUCCACAAUAGCAAGAGUUUCCAUUUUUAUAAUCUAGAAAGUCCUUUUCUCACCACAGCUCAGAGGCAGAUGCUAGUAGAGUAAGAGAAUCCCCUCGUUUCAGAUGAGAAAGAGACUUGUCCACGGUCACACAGCUAUUGAGCAUCCACGAAGGCCCGGUCCUGAGUUCGAGCAGACUGUUUUCUGGGUCAACAGAGUUCGCCAACAGGUUGCCUGUGCUUCAAGUUUUGCUUGUCAUGCCUGGAACUGGAGAGCAGAUGUGUCUGGCAUUUAUGGAAGAUGCCAAAUGCAGAGGAGCUCAGAA